rnacentral:rRNA from 1 species
GGUUAAGCGACUAAGCGUACACGGUGGAUGCCCUGGCAGUCAGAGGCGAUGAAGGACGUGCUAAUCUGCGAUAAGCGUCGGUAAGGUGAUAUGAACCGUUAUAACCGGCGAUUUCCGAAUGGGGAAACCCAGUGUGAUUCGUCACACUAUCGUUAACUGAAUACAUAGGUUAACGAAGCGAACCGGGGGAACUGAAACAUCUAAGUACCCCGAGGAAAAGAAAUCAACCGAGAUUCCCCCAGUAGCGGCGAGCGAACGGGGAGGAGCCCAGAGCCUGAAUCAGCAUGUGUGUUAGUGGAAGCGUCUGGAAAGGCGCGCGAUACAGGGUGACAGCCCCGUACACAAAAGCGCAUGUGCUGUGAGCUCGAUGAGUAGGGCGGGACACGUGGUAUCCUGUCUGAAUAUGGGGGGACCAUCCUCCAAGGCUAAAUACUCCUGACUGACCGAUAGUGAACCAGUACCGUGAGGGAAAGGCGAAAAGAACCCCGGCGAGGGGAGUGAAAAAGAACCUGAAACCGUGUACGUACAAGCAGUGGGAGCCCCACCACCAAAGCAUUCUCUGGUGUUGAAGGCCCUGCAAAGCAGCAUCGCGGUGGCGGAGCGUCGUUUGCGACGCCCAACACACAAAACAAGCGGUGAGUGCUUUGGGGUGGGGUGACUGCGUACCUUUUGUAUAAUGGGUCAGCGACUUAUAUUCUGUAGCAAGGUUAACCGUAUAGGGGAGCCGAAGGGAAACCGAGUCUUAACUGGGCGUUAAGUUGCAGGGUAUAGACCCGAAACCCGGUGAUCUAGCCAUGGGCAGGUUGAAGGUUGGGUAACACUAACUGGAGGACCGAACCGACUAAUGUUGAAAAAUUAGCGGAUGACUUGUGGCUGGGGGUGAAAGGCCAAUCAAACCGGGAGAUAGCUGGUUCUCCCCGAAAGCUAUUUAGGUAGCGCCUCGUGAACUCAUCUUCGGGGGUAGAGCACUGUUUCGGCUAGGGGGUCAUCCCGACUUACCAACCCGAUGCAAACUGCGAAUACCGAAGAAUGUUAUCACGGGAGACACACGGCGGGUGCUAACGUCCGUCGUGAAGAGGGAAACAACCCAGACCGCCAGCUAAGGUCCCAAAGUCACAGUUAAGUGGGAAACGAUGUGGGAAGGCUCAGACAGCCAGGAUGUUGGCUUAGAAGCAGCCAUCAUUUAAAGAAAGCGUAAUAGCUCACUGGUCGAGUCGGCCUGCGCGGAAGAUGUAACGGGGCUAAACUGUGCACCGAAGCUGCGGCAGCGACGCUUAUGCGUUGUUGGGUAGGGGAGCGUUCUGUAAGCCUGCGAAGGUGUCCUGUGAGGGAUGCUGGAGGUAUCAGAAGUGCGAAUGCUGACAUAAGUAACGAUAAUGCGGGUGAAAAGCCCGCUCGCCGGAAGACCAAGGGUUCCUGUCCAACGUUAAUCGGGGCAGGGUGAGUCGACCCCUAAGGCGAGGCCGAAAGGCGUAGUCGAUGGGAAACGGGUUAAUAUUCCCGUACUUGGUGUUACUGCGAAGGGGGGACGGAGAAGGCUAUGUUGGCCGGGCGACGGUUGUCCCGGUUUAAGCGUGUAGGCUGGUUUUCCAGGCAAAUCCG